rnacentral:rRNA from 1 species
GACGAACGCUGGCGGCGUGCCUAAUACAUGCAAGUCGUACGCACCGACAGGGAACUUGUUCCCUGAACGUGAGUGGCGAACGGGUGAGUAACACGUGGGAAACCUGCCCUGGAGUGGGGGAUAACCAUCGGAAACGAUGGCUAAUACCGCAUAUCCAAUCCAACCGCAUGGUUGGAUUGACAAAGACGGCUUCGGCUGUCGCUUCAGGAUGGUCCCGCGGUGCAUUAGCUAGUUGGUAAGGUAACGGCUUACCAAGGCAAGGAUGCAUAGCCGACCUGAGAGGGUGAUCGGCCACAUUGGGACUGAGACACGGCCCAAACUCCUACGGGAGGCAGCAGUAGGGAAUCUUCCGCAAUGGACGCAAGUCUGACGGAGCAACGCCGCGUGUGUGAAGAAGGUCUUCGGAUCGUAAAGCACUGUUAUUAGAGAAGAACAGCCGGUAGAGUAACUGUUACCGGUUUGACGGUAUCUAACCAGAAAGUGACGGCUAACUACGUGCCAGCAGCCGCUGUAA